UCUGCCUUGCAGUCGGGAAUAUCCCAUGGAAACAUGGUGCAAUACCGGAUACGAACGUCGGCGCACAAGCGCUGGCGAGGAAAGGGGCCAAGGCCCUGCUGCGAGAUGAGUCCGCGUCCCAUUAGCUAGAUGGCGGGGUAAAGGCCCACCAUGGCUGUGAUGGGUAGCCGGCCUGAGAGGGUGAACGGCCACAUUGGGACUGAGAUACGGCCCAGACUUCUACGGGAGGCAGCAGCAAAGAAUCUUCCGCAAUGGACGAAAGUCUGACGGAGCGACGCCGCGUGAGCGAUGAAGGCCGCAAGGUUGUAAAGCUCUUUUCGGGGGGAAGAAUAAUGCCGGCAGGGAAUGGCCGGCGGAUGACAUCAACCCCGGAAUAAGGUCCGGCUAACUACGUGCCAGCAGCCGCGGUAACACGUAGGGACCUAACGUUGUUCGGAAUUAUUGGGCGUAAAGGGCGCGCAGGCGGCCGCUCAAGUCUGGUGUUAAAUGGUCGGGCUCAACCCGAUCAUGCGCUGGAAACUGGGUGGCUUGAGUUCAGGAGGGGAUGCCGGAAUUCCAGGUGUAGGGGUGAAAUCUGUAGAUAUCUGGAAGAACACCGAUGGCGAAGGCAGGCAUCUGGCCAUGAACUGACGCUGAGGCGCGAAGGUGCGGGGAGCAAACAGGUUUAGAUACCCUGGUAGUCCGCACAGUAAACGAUGUGCACCA
rnacentral:rRNA from 1 species